CUACGGGAGGCAGCAGUGGGGAAUAUUGGACAAUGGGGGGAACCCUGAUCCAGCAAUGCCGCGUGUGUGAAGAAGGUCUUCGGAUUGUAAAGCACUUUCACUAGGGAAGAUGAUGACGGUACCUANAGAAGAAGCCCCGGCUAACUUCGUGCCAGCAGCCGCGGUAAUACGAAGGGGGCUAGCGUUGCUCGGAAUGACUGGGCGUAAAGGGCGCGUAGGCUGUUUGUACAGUCAGAUGUGAAAUCCCCGGGCUUAACCUGGGAACUGCAUUUGAUACGUGCAGACUANAGUCCGAGAGAGGGUUGUGGAAUUCCCAGUGUAGAGGUGAAAUUCGUANAUAUUGGGAAGAACACCGGUUGCGAAGGCGGCAACCUGGCUCGGAACUGACNCUGANGCGCGAAANCGUGGGGAGCGAACAGGAUUAGAUACCCUGGUAGUUCCNGCUGUAAACGAUGUGUGCUGGAUGUUGGGUGAUUUUUAUCAUUCAGUGUCGGAACUNACNCGUUAAGCACACCGCCUGGGGAGUNCGCCCCNANGUUUGAAACUCAAAGGAAUUGACCGGGGCCCNNAAAAACNGUG
rnacentral:rRNA from 1 species